GGCGAGUGCCUUUCAGGCAUCCUCUCCUAACUCAUUGGGCCGGUCGAAAGACCGGCCUUUUUUUUGGUCCACC
rnacentral:sRNA from 2 species